GAACUGCGGCUUUCCUCCACUAUACAAACCUGGCAUGUCCUUAAAUGAGGACGUAAAACACAAACCAACCAAUCAAGCUGAGUAUGUGCAUAUAAAACUGGUUAUCUGCCCAAACCACUUAACCCACCCAAAAUUCCACGUCAGCUCUACGACGGGUACACAAGAGACUGGAAGUGUAAGUAGGUUUCAAACACCCGGACCUAACCAUCUAGGAUUGUAUCUUCGUCUGCUAUAGAUAUAUCACGGUGGUUUUCUCCGGGAACUGCGGCUUCCUCCACU